AAGGGUAUAGCUCAGUGGCAGAGCACAUGCUUAGCAUACACAAGGUCCUGGGUUCAAUCCCUAGUACCUCCU
rnacentral:tRNA from 1 species